rnacentral:lncRNA from 1 species
GUUAAAUACAAAAGACUGAAGUUUAUUUAUAUAAAAUUCUGGAAGAUGAAAAAUCUAGUGACAGAAAAUUAUUGGUUGCCUUAAGAUGAAAGUCAGGAGAGAGAAUCCACUGCAAAGGACCGAAGGAAACUUUUUCAGGCUGUGAUGGUUUGUGGAGUUGGGAAGAGAUGCUGGCAGUCUGCCACAGUGAGCUUUAUGACCAUCUCCAGUACAUCACGGAGUGGCACCUUCAACAACUACACCCAUUCUCUCCGUCACAGCAAACUCCCCAUCUUCGCGCCCCUUCAGGCCUAGGUGGACAAUAUAUUUUCUGAUAGGAUCUUACCUGUUCCAGUAAUUGAUACAAGGAAUGAUGUCAGAAAACAGACUUUCCCUACAGAUUCUGCAAUGGGAUUCUGCACAUGUUCAAGAAAUAAACAGAAAACAUUCCUAUCAGUGGAAAAAAUGGAAAUUGGUAAUCCAUGCUAUGCAUCAGCAUCACAUUCACAUUUUCAUGUGGUGGCUUGGAGGUAUCAACUAAUAUGUAGAUGACAAGCAUGGUAUUGGGGAAUUGUGGCUAUAGCAAUGUAAUAGCAAUUUGAUAACUAUGAAAACAAUACGAUUAUGCAAAUCAUGGCCCCAAAGAGCCUGUCUGUGGAAAAAAUCAUUGAAGCUCCUGAAUGUCCAAACUCAAAACACAAGUGUAAAUCCACAUUCCUUCCAAGGAAGCAAUAUCUUUGAGAACCUUAAUCCUAGCUGAGCUCUGUUGACCAUAUUUGACAAUAGGAGAUACUAUGAAUAAGCUGAGGUCUUAUUCCCCAAGACUGGGUAAUUUAUAAAGGAAAGAGAUUUAAUUGAUGUACAGUUCAGCAUGGCUGUAAGAAAACUCACAAUCAUGGCGGAAGGUGAAGAGGAAGCAAGGCACCUUCUUCACAAGGUGGCAGGAAGAAGUGAGAAGUAAAGGGGGAAGAGCUCCUUAUAAAACCAUCAGAUCUCGUGAGAACUUACUAUCAUGAGAACAGCAUGAGGCAAACCUCCCCCAUGAUUCAAUUACCUACACCUGGUCUCUCCCUUGACACGUGGGGAUUAUGUGGAUUACAGUUCAAGGUGAGAUUUGAGUGGGGACCCAAAGCCUAACUGUAUCAACUAAUGACAGAGAUUAAGUGGUUUGGGAAUUGCAGGAGCCUAGUGACAACAUUUAACCAACAGAUAAGGUGAGUAAAAUGACCAUAAUAAACCUCAUGACAGUAAAAGAAACAAGAGUGACUUAUCCUACAGGGAAGUAAUAUAUCAUAGUUUUUCUAGGAAUGAAAUACAAAGGCAGCCAACUAAGUUGUGAUUUGAUUAUAUAACCUGAAUAAUCAAAAGAUGACAAGCAAUAGAAAAUUGCAAUCUCUUAGACCCUUUUCAUGUAUAAGCCAGUUCUCAGCCCAGAGCUCAAUAGGAGGACUAGGUCACCUAGAAGAAGGACUGUGUAAUGCCAAUGCAAGUAUAUUCAAUGUAUGUUCCAUUGAGAUCCUUUACCAGAAUAAAUGUACACUGGAGAAAUUUGAUUACUCAUAUCUUUCAAGGGUUUUUAGUUCAGGGUCUAAGUUGGCAGUGAUAUUGCUGAUCUGAAACACAAUCAUAGCUCCUUGGCUUGAGAAAAGUGUUAUGGAAUUCAGGCUUGAGAAAGGUGUUAUGGAAUUCAGGCUUGAGAAAGGUGUUAUGGAAUUCAGGCUUGAGAAAGGUAUUAUGGAAUUCAGGUAAUAAAUGGAGUCCAGACCAAGUCACAGUGGCAAUUUCCAUGGAACUCACUUGUAACACUAGGAUGGAUAUACUUAGAAUCUUAUUAGUUCCUGACCUGUUAAGGGUGAGCCAUUGCAGAAUGAAAGACCAGCAGAAAACUCCAGCAUCAUCCCUCUUACCCUCAAGGCCAAGAUAGUCAAUAAAAAAGAGUACUGUACGUCAAGAAGAAUUGCAGGAAUUAUUGACAACUUCAAAGUUUUUGAGGAGUCAGAGGUAAUUGCUUUUAUGAUAUCUCUAUUUAGUUUACCUGUACGGCCCUUUCAAAACAUAGAUGGCCUAUACUGGGUAAUAGAGGAUUAAUAUAAACCUAAAGGAUGAUACCACAUGUGCAACUGCUUUGCUGGAUGUGUUUCUGGAAUAGAAUAUAACUUCUGGUACUUGGAUGUCACUAUUGAUGUAGAGAAUACAUUCUCUUCUAUCUCCAUCAAUAAAAAUGUAUCAGAAGUAAUAUAUUUUUGUAUCACUCUAUUCAUUGACAGUUUUGGACCAGGGGUAUGAAAAUGUCCUUGACUUUAUCUCAUUAUACCAUUCUGAGACCUUGAGUAUAUCUUAUAAUUUUAUGGGGCAUUACACUUGUCACUGUAUUCAUUUCAUUAUGCUAAUUUUACCUGGUCUGAAAUAAGGAGACUGGACACCCUAGUAAAUUACAUGUUUCCCAGAAGUGGUAAAUGAACUCCAGAAAGAUGACAGUCCUGCCACAUCAAUAAGGACUUGCUUCCUAAAACAAAGGAUAGGUUAUUGUUCUUCACAAAUCCUACCACUAAGGUAGAGUCAUAGACAUAGAACUUAGUAUUUUUUUUUUUUUUUUUAACAAUCAGAACUAUGGUUCUAGUGCAGUGCAAACUUCCCUGGACAUUAGCCACCUGGCUGUUAAAUAUAGUGGUGUCAGAAGUAUCCAAGAUGGAUAAAGAUGUUGCAUGUAUUUCAGGGUCAGGCCAUCUGCAGAAGAGAACUAAGCACUCUCGGAAAACCACAUUCUUAUGUGCUACAGAGCCCAGCAGAAAAAGAAACACUGCAUGUGGAACAUCUGUUGACUAUACAGAAAGAGCAGGUAUCCAGGAGUGAGGUCAAACAUAUGCAAUAUACUUUUAUUGCAUAAUUGAAAUGGUGCAUUUGGAUUUGGAAAUUCGCAGGUCUAGAACAAAAAAUAAUUUACGUGAAGAGGUGUAAAUUCCUGAAAAGUGCAACAUUGGGAUAUCUAAUAAGAGCAAGUUUGGGCUUCAGUGAGGAAACAAUAAAAAUUUUGCAGAAGAAGCACAUGAAUAGAUCAUGAGAGUGGGCAAACAGCGUAAGAAACUGUGUCUCACGUUGAUAUCUACCUAAAAGUAUCCAAUACAGAGGAAGCACUUAAAAAUAAGAGAAAUAAGUGGAAUCCUUGUAAGGAUAUAAAACACAAUUUGUCUCAGCCACUCAGCCGUCCAACUUGAACAAUGAGCCCAUUAAGAGAACAGGACGAAAACAAGGUUUUCCUUUCUUUGUCAGAUCUCACUACUGCCAUUGCUGAUAGUCCAGCCUGCCAACAUCAGAGACAAACAUAGAGCACUCAAUAGAGUAGCGUCAACUAAUGGGACAUGUCAAUCACUUAGCAAUAUAUUGAUUAUAUCAGACUUGUCCAAACAGUAGUCCAUUCUUAUUGGAAUAGGUGUUUCUCUAAGAUUUGGGUUUGCCUUUCUAGCCCCUGUGCCUUUGCUAGUACCAUCAUCCAGGGGUUUAUAUAAUGCCACGUUUACACCUUGGCACACAAUAUAAUAUUUACUUAAUCAAAGUAACCAUUUUCUUAUGGUGAGUACAAGUAUUCUUUUUAUUAUGAUUAUGAUUAUUUAAACUAUGAAUAUACACCUUAUACUGGUCUUUGUAUGUGUAAUACAUAUUUGUAUAUGUAUAAUAUACAAAUAUAUAAUAUAUCUUUGUGUUUGUAUAAUAUGGAUUAUUAUAUUUGUAUAUGUAUAAUAUAUGAAUAUAUAAUAUAUAUUUAUAUUUUUAUAUGUAUAAUAUGGAUUGACAAUAUGUUUUAAUCGUCAAUAUGAAUAAAAUAAUAAAGAUGAAUAAAAUAAUAAUAAACCAAAUAUAUAUGUAGGGUUAUG